rnacentral:rRNA from 1 species
UACAGAGGGCUCAAGCGUUGUUCGGAUUCAUUGGGCGUAAAGGGCGCGUAGGCGGCGGGGUAAGUCGGGUGUGAAAUCUCAGAGCUCAACUCUGAAAUGGCACUUGAUACUGCUCUGCUAGAGGACUGGAGAGGAGAUUGGAAUUCACGGUGUAGCAGUGAAAUGCGUAGAUAUCGUGAGGAAGACCGGUGGCGAAGGCGGAUCUCUGGACAGUUCCUGACGCUGAGGCGCGAAGGCCAGGGGAGCAAACGGG